UAUAUAUUUAAGUGUUUAUGCAUUUAGGUUUUUGGUACCUAAGGGUUAGGUUAGUUCUAAAAAUAUAA
rnacentral:tRNA from 1 species